rnacentral:RNase_P_RNA from 1 species
GCCGGAUAAUCGCGCAAACCACCGGUUUGUGAGGAAAGUCCGGGCAUCCGAGGACAAAUCGCCGGAUAACGUCCGGUGCGGGCGACCGCGAGGAUAGUGCCACAGAAAUACACCGCCUAUGUGCGAAAGCGCAGGUAAGGGUGCAAUAGUGAGGUAAGAGCUCACCGGCGGUAUUGAGAAAUACCGUUCAGGUAAACCCCGAUUGGAUGCAAGAUUGAACUAAAGGUUAAGGCUGUCCGCCGUCUUUAAACAAAUCGCUAAAGCUCACGGGCAACCGUGCGCGCAGACAGAUGAUUAUCUAAAACAGAACCCGGCUUACGGGCUGCUC